CUGAGACACGGCCCAGACUCCUACGGGAGGCAGCAGUGGGGAAUUUUCCGCAAUGGGCGAAAGCCUGACGGAGCAACGCCGCGUGAGGGAUGAAGGCCUCUGGGCUGUAAACCUCUUUUCUCAAGGAAGAAGAUCUGACGGUACUUGAGGAAUAAGCCACGGCUAAUUCCGUGCCAGCAGCCGCGGUAAUACGGGAGUGGCAAGCGUUAUCCGGAAUUAUUGGGCGUAAAGCGUCCGUAGGCGGCUUUUCAAGUCUGCUGUUAAAAAGUGGAGCUUAACUCCAUCAUGGCAGUGGAAACUGUUGGGCUUGAGUGUGGUAGGGGCAGAGGGAAUUCCCGGUGUAGCGGUGAAAUGCGUAGAUAUCGGGAAGAACACCAGUGGCGAAGGCGCUCUGCUGGGCCAUAACUGACGCUCAUGGACGAAAGCCAGGGGAGCGAAAGGGAUUAGAUACCCCUGUAGUCCUGGCCGUAAACGAUGAACACUAGGUGUCGGGGGAAUCGACCCCCUCGGUGUCGUAGCCAACGCGUUAAGUGUUCCGCCUGGGGAGUACGCACGCAAGUGUGAAACUCAAAUAAAUUGACGGGGGCCCGCACAAGCGGUGGAGUAUGUGGUUUAAUUCGAUGCAACGCGAAGAACCUUACCAGGGUUUGACAUCCUGCGAAUCUCUUGGAAACGAGAGAGUGCCUUCGGGAACGCAGUGACAGGUGGUGCAUGGCUGUCGUCAGCUCGUGUCGUGAGAUGUUGGGUUAAGUCCCGCAACGAGCGCAACCCACGUUUUUAGUUGCCAGCAUUUAGUUGGGCACUCUAGAGAGACCGCCGGUGAUAAACCGGAGGAAGGUGUGGAUGACGUCAAGUCAUCAUGCCCCUUACAUCCUGGGCUACACACGUACUACAAUGCUACGGACAAAGGGCAGCGAACUCGCGAGG
rnacentral:rRNA from 1 species